rnacentral:sRNA from 2 species
ACAAACGGUACAAUGCGCGCCGUCAUCAGGGAGUAGCCGCCCCCGCGCAAGCCGGGGGGACCACGUCAACAGACUUGCCCGUCGCGGGCAUGGCGUGUUCAGCCUUCGGGCCUGGCGAGACUUUUGGCUGCAUGCCCUCCGAUUGUUUCGGGCCGGGGAGGCGUGCGGUCAUCUGUCGUCGACCGGCCCGGAG